rnacentral:rRNA from 1 species
UGUAGAGAUCUAAAGUUUAGUUGAACUGUGACUGUCCUGACGGCAGGUGGCAACCCUCUGGGGGGAGGGUUGACCCUGCAUGGUUAGGGGUGUAGAGAUCUAAAGUUUAGUUGAACUGUGACUGUCCUGACGGCAGGUGGCAACCCUCUGGGGGGAGGGUUGACCCUGCAUGGUUAGGGGUGUAGAGAUCUAAAGUUUAGUUGAACUGUGACUGUCCUGACGGCAGGUGGCAACCCUCUGGGGGGAGGGUUGACCCUGCAUUAUUAUUUGAUAGUGGCUUAAGAUGAGUAUAUAGCUAAAUAAAGUUUUUUACUUACACUAAUUAGAUAUCUAAAUUGAUUGUACUUUUAUUUAAAGUUAAUUUUUUGGGUUAGUUAUUUAAUUUUAUAAUAUGUGUAUAGUGUAACUGUGGGGGUAAUUAUUAAUAUUAAAUAGAAAAAUAAAUAUUUGUACCUUUUGUAUCAGGAUUUAUUAAUAUAUUUUGUUUAUUACAUAUUUCUCGAAAAAGAAAGAUUUAAGGGUUUAAUAAUAAAAUGUUUAAGAAUUUUUUUUAAUAUUUCCUUAGAUUUGAUAUGAAUAUCGAUUUCUUAUAUCUAGUUGUUUAUUUUAUUAAUUAAAUUAAUUAAAUUUUUAAUUGCUAUGUAAAAAUUAUUUAAAUAUAUAGGGAUAAGCUUAUAUAAAUAUAAUUAAAGUUUUUAUAAUAAAAUUUAAAUUGUAAUUUUAAAAUUAGAUUUCCUAAUAAUUUGUAAAAAUUAAUUAAAUUUUUUUAAUAUUUUAUAAUUUCUUAUUUUUAAUUUUAAACUUUAUUAAAUAAUAAUUUAUUUUUAUUAAUUAUGAUAAAAUUAGUAAAUUUUAAAAUAAGUAUUAAGAACUCGGCAAUAAUUAAUUUCUGCCUGUUUAUCAAAAACAUGUCUAAAAGUAAAAUAUUUUUAGUCUAACCUGCUCAAUGCUUAAGUAAAUAGCUGCAGUAUUUUGACUGUACAAAGGUAGCAUAAUCAUUAGUUUUUUAAUUGAAAGCUGGAAUGAAUGGUUGAACAAGAAAUUGACUUUUUUAUGCUUAUAAUAUUUAAUUUAGUUUUUAUGUAAAAAAACGUAAAUAUAUAUAAGGGACGAGAAGACCCUUUAGAAUUUAAGAAAAAUCUUGUAGAAAUUUCUUUUAUUGGGGUGAUAGAAGAAAAACUUCUUUUAGUUUUAUCACAAAUGUGUGAAUAAUUGAUCAAAAAUUUUUGAAUAUAAGAUAAAAUUACCUUAGGGAUAACAGCAUAAUUUUUUUAAAAAGAUCUUAUUGAUAAAAAAGUUUAUGACCUCGAUGUUGAAUUAAGAAAAUAAAAGGGUGUAGAAGUUCUUUUUACUAGUCUGUUCGACUUAUAAAAUUUUACAUGAUUUGAGUUCAGACCGGCGUAAGCCAGGUUGGUUUCUAUCUUUUAGGGUUUUUAUUAUAGUACGAAAGGAUUUAAUAAGACUAUUAUUAUAGUAAUAUUGAAUAAAAUUU